UACGAAGGGUGCAAGCGUUAAUCGGAAUUACUGGGCGUAAAGGGUGCGUAGGCGGUUCGUUAAGUCUGUCGUGAAAUCCCCGGGCUCAACCUGGGAAUUGCACUGGAUACUGGCAGGCUAGAGUGCGGUAGAGGAUGGCGGAAUUCCCGGUGUAGCAGUGAAAUGCGUAGAGAUCGGGAGGAACAUCCGUGGCGAAGGCGGCCAUCUGGACCAGCACUGACACUGAGGCACGAAAGCGUGGGGAGCAAACAGG
rnacentral:rRNA from 1 species